GUAACACUAUAAUAAUGGGAUUAAACACUGCAGGACACAGAAUAUAAGUAUUUUCACUGCCUUUUACAGCCUCCCAGCUAUCAGAAGAUGUUGCAAAAGAAACCCUGCAGGAAUAUCCUCAGAUAAGUAAUGCUAUGGCACUUCCCCAGCAUGAAAUCUGGAAGGCAAGGAGCUCAGGCCCUUUAAUACCUAUAGGACCUGUGAUCAUUGUAAAGGGACAAUCACAUGCGGAGAGUGCUCUGGAUCUGGCAUGAUGCAGUGCACAUUCUUCAAUAGGCACUUUCCAUUGGCAUCACAACUGGCUAAGUAUUUUGAACAGCACACGUUUCUUAUUUUUUUAAAAAUUAGAAAGUUAGUAGUUGGGGAGCACCGCCCAUCAAACACAGGGGAUGGUGUGCAGGGUCAAAUAAUAAUUAUAAUGGAAA